GACGAACGCUGGCGGCGUGCCUUAGACAUGCAAGUCGAACGGAGUAGCAAUACUCAGUGGCGAACGGCGGAGUAAUGCAUAAGCAACGUGCCCCAAAGACUGGGAUAGUCGAGGGAAACCACGGGUAAUACCAGAUGUGGUCCUUAGAUGGCAUCAUCAAGGGAUUAAAUCGAGCAAUCGGCUUUGGGAGCGGCUUAUGUCCUAUCAGCUUGUUGGUGAGGUAACGGCUCACCAAGGCUACGACGGGUAGGGGGUCUGAGAGGAUGAUCCCCCCGAGUGGGACUGCGACACGGCCCACACACCUACGGGUGGCAGCAGUUUGGAAUAUUGCACAAUGGGGGAAACCCUGAUGCAGCGACGCCGCGUGGAGGACGAAGGAUCUAGGUCUGUAAACUCCUUUUGCCAGGAAAGACUUAGGACGGUACCUGGCGAAUAAGCCCCGGCUAACUACGUGCCAGCAGCCGCGGUAAGACGUAGGGGGCGAGCGUUGUCCGGAUUUACUGGGCGUAAAGAGCGCGUAGGCGGCUAGUUAAGUGAGAAGUGAAAUCUCCAGGGCUCAACCCGGAAACUGCUUUUCAUACUGGCCAGCUGGAGGGACGCAGGGGUGACUGGAAUUCCCGGUGUAGCGGUGAAAUGCAUUGAUAUCGGGAGGAACUCCAACAGCGAAGGCAGGUCACUGGGCGUUUCCUGACGCUGAGGCGCGAAAGCGUGGGUAGCAAACAGGAUUAGAUACCCUGGUAGUCCACGCCCUAAACGAUGGAUACUAGACGUAAGAGGUAUCGACCCCUCUUGUGUCGCAGCUAACGCAUUAAGUAUCCCGCCUGGGGAGUACGGCCGCAAGGUUG
rnacentral:rRNA from 1 species